AUGUUUUUAAAUUUGUUGAUACAUUUUUUAUUAAUCAAACUGUACACGUCCUUGACUUUUCUCGACAGAGAAGUUUGAAUAAAAAGUAAAAUGUAUGUUCUUUGUCCCAGGGGGUAUUAGGAAAUAUCGGGCCGCCGGGAUUAACCGGACCCCCGGGGAGAGGCAUCCCCGGUGCCAAGGUAAGCCCUGAUAGUGGAGCUUGUGUUUGCGCUUCCUGGCUCUAACGGGUUUUCCUUUAGGGUGAUGCGGGUCUGCCGGGUCCUCCUGGACCCAUGGGAGAGCCGGGGAUCGGUUUGAUGGGACCCAAGGUGAUCUCAGUUCAAGUUUGCAGGAACUUCCUUUCAGAGUGAACAGAUUAAAGUAAAUCCAUUUCUGGUUGGUAGGGCGACAGAGGGCUGCCGGGGCCCGUCGGGCGUCCUGGACUGAAAGGUGAAGGCUUCUCCGGGCCUCCAGUGAGUACACAAAAACACAGAAUCCUCCUUCAUCCCAGCUUGACUACAUCACUUUAAAAGAGUAAAACUCGCCUCAGGGACUUCCUGGGCCCCCAGGCCUGCCUGGAGAGACCGGACAAGAUGGUUUCGGAUUACCUGGACAGAAAGGAGAUCGAGGAAAUCCUGGACCUUUGGGACCUGCCGGGCCUCCUGGGAUCGGGUUGAUUGGAUCAAAGGUAAUCAAAGAAAAAAAUCUUGUGCUUUUGUGUUGAACUGGCUGGAAAACAAAGUUGCAUAUCUUAAAUGUUCUUGUUCUGCAGGGUGCGAUGGGUCAGAUGGGACCUGCAGGUCCUCCAGGGUUACCGGGAGAGGGUAUCCAGGGGCAGAAGGUA
rnacentral:lncRNA from 1 species